UUAUAGCUUUGUAAGACCCCCUUUCGGGGACCCCCACUCUAGUCUAGGGAGAGAGAGUGCACCCAAAGAAACACAAGAAUCC
rnacentral:pre_miRNA from 7 species